UCAGGAUCCAAAAUCAAAUGAGAGGGUGCAGUAUAAAUCUGGGGACUCAUUGGGAGAUGAAGCCAUUGCCCUGAGAACUGAGCAAGAGGAGACUCGGGAACUGACAACUGCUAUCCAGGAGCAGGCAUCUAAAGGCUUGGAUCUGAAAUCAACUGAGGAAUCGGAGUAUUCUGCCCAAAACAAGAAGCCAAGAAUCUUGCCCACAACAGAUAGUGUUGCUGGUGAAGAUCCAAUAUCAAAUGAGAAGGCACAGGAUAAGUCUGGAGAUUCAUUGGGUAAUCAAGCUAUUGCCAUGAGAUCUGAGCAAGAGAAGGAGACCAAAGAAGUGACAAAUGCUAUCCAGGAACAAGCAGGUAAAGUCCAUUCUUCUGAUGUUUUGGCUAGUACGGAUCUGAAAUCAACUGAGCAGUCAGAGAAUCCUGUCCAAAACAAGCACCCUAGAAGCUCAUCAAUAACAGAAAGCAGUGCUGAUAAGGAUCCAGAAUUAAAUGAGAAGCUACAGGAUGCAUCAGGGGUUUUGUUGGGGAGUCAAGCCACUGCCAGUAGAAGUGAGCAAGAGAAAGAACUGACAAUUGCUGUCCAGGAGCAAGCAUGUAAUAUUCAUACUUCUGGUGUUUUAGUUGAUAUGGAUCUCAAAUCAACUGAGGGAUCUUAUUGUUCUGCCCAAUAUAAGAUGCCAACAAGCUCACCAACAACACAUGACAGUGCUGGUCAGGAUCCAAAAUCAAAUGAGAAGCUGCCUGAUAAAUCUGGGUAUUUAUUGGAGACUAAAGCCAUUUCCAUGACAAGUGAGCAAGAGAAUGACAGCCAGGAGCUAGAAAGUACUCUCCAGGAGCAAGCAUGUAAAAUCCAUGGUUCUGAUGUUUUAGCUGGUCAGACUCUAGAAUCAACUGAGCAAUUGAAUUAUUCUGCUGAAAACCUGAAGGAAGCUAGCUCAUCAACAACCCAUGAUUGUGCUGCCAGAUUGCUGGAAAAAGUUUCUGUAUGCUUAGAAGUUAGUGAAGUUGAUGCAUCUCUGAAAUCAAAGGAGGAAACUUUGCCUACUGAAAUACAGGCAUGUCAAAACAACGUAGACCAUGCCUUAGAAUCAAUCCAAACUGCUGAUGCAAAUGAUGUUGCUUCUCUGACAAAGAAGGUUACUUCUGAGAUUUGUUCAACUGAGACUAAAUUUGAUGUGUCUUUUGCAAGUGAAAUUGGGGAUGCUCCAACUGUUUCAAAUAAGACCUUGUCUGAGGUGACCAAAAAACAGAGCUUGGAGGAUGAAACAUGUUCAACUAUGCCUACUUUUGUAGCUGCAACUCCAGUAGUUGACCCUCCAGUUGACAAUGAUGAAAACCCAUCUGGUAAAGAAGGUAAUGCAGAAGUAGAAGAGAAUGAAGAUGCUGUUCUGGAUGAAGCCCUUGUUUCAAAGCCUGAGGUUUCUGAAUCUCACAGCAAGGUCUCUGCUGGCUCCACUGGAAAUAUGACAGAUUCGGAAAAGCUUAUUGAUGUAAGCUCCAUCAUGGCGAGUAAUAGGGCAGUGAUUUGCACAGUUCCACUCAGGCUUGAGACGUUGGAAACUUGCUCAUCAGAUGUUAAAGUUGAUGAGUUGUUUGUGCGUGAAGGUGGGGAUGCCCCAAAUUUUCCAGAACCAAGACUAACCUUUACUGAGGUGACCAAGAACGAAAGUCCAAAGGAUGAUAGAAAUUCAACCAUUUUAGCCUUGGAAAAAGAAACUCCAGAUUGGGAUGUUCCAGUUGACAGGCACAAAAAUCAAUCUGGGAAAGAUGGGGAUGGAGAAGAACAAGAAGACAAAGAUCCUCCUCCAGUGGUUGCCCUUGUUUCUGAGACUGAGCCUGAGAUCACUGCUGACUCUGUUGAAAACAUGGCAUUUUCUAGUCAUCUUAUUGAAGAAAACUCAAUCAUGGGGCGCAAUGCUACUAAUGUUGUUUGCAAAGUUUCUCCCCUAGUCUAUUCAUCUGAAACUUGCUCGUCAGAAACUAAAGUUGGUGAGCCUUUUGGGAAUGAUGAUGGAGAUGCCUCAAUUGUGCCUGUAUCAAGUAAGACAGUCAUUGAGGUGAAUAAGAAUGAAAAUUUGGAGGAUAAUUCAUGUUCAACAAUGUCAAUUUCAGAAAGUGAAGCUCCUGUCUUGGACCUUCCAAUUUGCAACCAUGAAAAUCAAUGUGAUGAUGGAGACACCCCAACUGUACCUGUAUCAAGUAAGACUGCUGCUGAGGGGAAUAAGAACCAAAGUUUAGAGGAUAAAAUGCAUUCUACCAUGUCUAGUUUGGAAAAAGCAGCUCCAGUUUUGGACCUCCAAAUUUGUAGUUACGAAAAACAGUGUGUAAAAGAAGGUGAUGCAAAAGAAGAAGAGGAUAAGGAUCCUUUGCUGGACCAGACCAUUGUUUCAGAGGCUAAAGCUUGUGAACUUGAAAGCAAGACAACUGCUGGCUGCAUUGAAACCAUGAUAGUUGCAGAGCAGAUUAUUGAAGAAAAAAGGAGCAUGGAUGAGGUUCCUACGGUUUCUUCCUCUGUUGGGCUAUCUGAAACUUGCUCAUCAGAAACUAAAAUUAGUGAAUCUAUUGGGGCUGAAGGUGGGGAUAACCCAACUCUUACUGUGUCAUGCAAUACCUCUAUUGAGGUGAUCAAAAAUCAAAGUUUGGAGUUGAAAAUAUGUUCAGAAAUCACUUCAGAGGUAGGAGCUCCAGCUUUGGACCUUCCAGCUGAGAACUGUGAAAGCCAAUCUGAGAAGGCGUGUAUUGCAGAGAUAGAAAGAGGCAAUAGUCCUGAUGUAGUUGAUGCCCUUGUCUUAGAGUCCAAGGCUUGUGAACCUGAAAGCAAGAUAACUUCUGGCUCUGUUGAAAACAUGCCAGAAUCAAGUCAACCUAUUGAAAAGAAUUCAAUCUUGGGAAUUAAUGUGGAGACCAUUUGCUCUGAUCCUCUCAUUUCUGGCCAAGUGGAUGAUGUUUCUUGCCAGAAAUCACCUGCUCGUGAUGGCGCUCUGGUUGACUUAUCUGUGAGAGCUUCUAGCAUUCAGAUGGAUUCACCUUUGGUAUCUGAAGAUGCUGCAGAGUUUAAUGAUAUGGCUAAAAAUAAUUUAGGAAACAGAUCAAAGCCUUCAUUGGAAGAGUCUCCAAAAUCUUCUCCUCUAGGUAUCAGAAGCUUUGAUGCACCUAUGAGUUCUGUAAAAACUGAUGAUGUUGGAAGUCCUCCAGUGGAUUCUGUUGUUGGUCUUCUUCCUGUUGAUCCUGAUGAUUCAGGCAUCUGUAAUUUGGAUGGUGGCGUUCCUGAUGAGGAUAAAUUAAGCAUGGUUCCUACUGAAGCUGAUCAAUGCAGCAGUAAAGUUAUGUCUGAAGUUGCAGAAACCGCCCUGGAAGCUGAUAAUAUUGGAGCUAUUCCUGAAGUACCCCCUAUUGAUACUGCAUCAGCGUGUGAGACAGUCACUUCUCAUGAACCUUCUCAAGACAAGUGCAGCCCCAAAUCUCCAUGUGAUGGAAGUGAAGAUAAAGGGAAACUUACAUUAGAGCCUAUGGACUCUACUAUUAAAGUUGGCAACACAGAGCUUGUUUCAAAAGAUGAUGGCGGAGUUCAACCAAUGGCUGGAGUUGAAUUUUCUGAGAGCGAGCAUGAUGGGGCUCACAUUUCAAUUAAACCAAUGGCUGGAGUUGAAUGUUCUGAGAGCGAGCAUGAUGGGGCUCACAAUUCAAAAGAUCUCUCAGAAACACAAGCAUCUUCACCCAAAGUUUUAUUUAAUUCCAAUGAUGGAGUCUCAAAUGAUUUUAAUGCUGAAAUUGCUGAUCCAAUGGAUGUUGGCGGAGUUAUGGUAGAACAAGCCCCUGUAUUGGAACCCAUGCACCCAGUAACUGCCAAGUCUGGCAAUACAGAGUGUGUUCCGAAUGAUGCUGCAAUUGAACCAGUAAUGGGUGUUGAAACUUCCAAAGAUGACACUGACCAAGUCUGCCACAUGGAUGUAAAUUUGGACUCGCCAGAAGUUCCUAAAGCUGAAUUGAAUGAUCCAAUGGAUGUUACUGAGGCUGUAGUUAUGGCUGAAAAUAUAGAUCCGCAGCUGUCUUCGCUGGAGACACAGGUAGAGAAGACCAAGAGCUCAUCUGAAAACGGUCCGGUUGGGAAUUCAUCUUCUUUGGAGAUGCUAGAAGAAAAGAUGGAACCCUCAUCUGAGAAGGGUAUAGUUGAAAGCUCUUCUUCGAUGGAGACACAGGAAGAAAACAUCAGGGACUCAUCUGAGAAGGAUCUAAAUGUGAGCUUGUCUUCCUUGGAGACACGGGAAGAAAAGAUCGAGGGAUCAUCUGAGAAGGAUCUAGCUGGGAGAUCACCUUCCUUGGAGACACAGGAAGAAAAAAUCGAGGGCACAGCCGGGAAGGAUCCACUUGAGAAAUCAUCUGCCUCGGAGGUAGAGGAAGGUAAGAUUGAGGCCUCAUCCGAGAAGGAUCCAGUUGGGCCAGAAAGAAAAGAUUGAGUGCUCACCUGGUAAUGAUCCAAUUGGG
rnacentral:lncRNA from 1 species